rnacentral:rRNA from 1 species
GUGGGGAAUUUUGGACAAUGGGCGAAAGCCUGAUCCAGCGACGCCGCGUGAAGGACGAAGGUCUUCGGAUCGUAAACUUCUUUUGCAGGGGACGAAAGAGCGCAAGCUUUUGACGGUACUCUGCGAAUAAGCCACGGCUAACUACGUGCCAGCAGCCGCGGUAAUACGUAGGUGGCGAGCGUUACUCGGAAUUACUAGGCGUAAAGCGCGUGUAGGCGGGAGCUUAAGUCUGCUGUUAAAUCUCACGGCUUAACCGUGAAAUGCCGGCGGAUACUGGGUUUCUUGAAUUCGGUAGAGGUAACUGGAAUUCCAGGUGUAGCGGUGAAAUGCGUAGAUAUCUGGAAGAACGCCAAAGGCGAAGGCAGGUUACUGGGCCGCAAUUGACGCUGAGACGCGAAAGCUAGGGGAGCAAACAGGAUUAGAAACCCUUGUAGUCC